UAUGGGUUUCUGAUAGUUGAU
rnacentral:piRNA from 1 species